rnacentral:rRNA from 1 species
UUGAUGAAUACAUAGUCAAACGAAGCGAACCGAGGGAACUGAAACAUCUCAGUACCUCGAGGAAAAGAAAUCAACCGAGAUUCCCCUAGUAGCGGCGAGCGAACGGGGAGCAGCCCAGAGUCUUAAUCAGCAUUAGCAUCAGGAGAACGGUCUGGAAAGGCCGGCAGUAAAGGGUGAUAGCCCCGUAUCCGAAGGUGUUAGUGUUGUGAACUCGACGAGUAGGGCGGGACACGUGUUAUCCUGUCUGAAUAUGGGGGGACCAUCCUCCAAGGCUAAAUACUCCUGAUUGACCGAUAGUGAACCAGUACCGUGAGGGAAAGGCGAAAAGAACCCCGGCGAGGGGAGUGAAAUAGAACCUGAAACCGUGUACGUACAAGCAGUGGGAGCACCCUUGUGGUGUGACUGCGUACCUUUUGUAUAAUGGGUCAGCGACUUAUAUUCUGUAGCAAGGUUAACCGUAUAGGGGAGCCGUAGGGAAACCGAGUCUUAACUG